GGAGAGAAGAGACUGGACUGGGAUAAGGCAGCAGGGGUAGAAACAGCAAAGAAUGAGAGGACUGACCAGAAAGCCACCCAACACAGGCCAUAUAAUGGUGUCCCAAAGAUGGUGUCCCAGAAAUGGCACGCGUCUUGGACAAAGACUGUGGUCCUACACCUUCUCGUCCUACCUGUACUGCCAUCCAGAGCCUCCGUGAAGCCACAAGGUCACCGGGUCCAAUAACUGCACCUUGAAAUCUACAUCUGUCAGCGGACAGGUUCCGAUCCUUCACGUGCCACCUGUUUCUGGCGCAUCCAGAAUGGAAGGAAGAAAGACAGAAUGAAAGACGGGGAGACAAGGAGGGCAAUGCCGGGGCACGAGACGCUCUCGCAGUUUUUAGUAGGUAAUUCAGCCCUGAAUUUUACCAACAGCUCUCUUAUUCCUCCCACUCUCCCUCUGCCUUCCCUUCUCUAAGGCGACAGUGAGGUUCUGGGGGAUUCUUCAAGGGAAUUAGUAAGAGCUGCUAUAAGGAGAUGCAUUUAUUAAGUGCCUGGCUCUAUUCGUGGCAGUCAGUAAAACAGAUCCCUAUCUCUGUGAAGCUUACAUCCUGGUGGCAGGGGGCGAGAGUAAACAAUGUAUGAGCACAUGAAAAUGGUACAAUAUAAAGAUACACGUUCUAUGGAAUAAAGAAAAAGUGGGGCAGGGGCAGGAGAUUUCAGAGUGCCGGGGAGAAGGUGAGGUACGCUGCAGUAAUAAGAUCGGGAUAAGCCUCACUGAAAAUGUGAGGUUUUGAGGGCAGUCUAGAAUGGAGAGAGAGCUAGCCACACGGACAAUGGGAAAGAGCUUUCCCCGAAGAGCCUGAGCAAACCCCCCGAGGUGGGAGUGUGGCUGGAGUGUGCAGCGACAGAAUGAAGUCCUGGUGGCAGAGGCAGAGGAGGCGGGGGAGGGUGAGAAAAGAGCUCCUGUACUGCACGGCCUGAGGCUGCUGGGAGGAUUUGACUCGCAGUACGGCGGGGUGCCAUUAUGCGACUUCAAGCAGAGGCAUGACAGGGCAGGCCAAUCUAGCUGCUGCACGGUGAACUGUGGACGUUUCAGGUCAAAGUGGGGAGAUCCUUGAGGAGACCAUCACAGUAGCAGUGGAGAUGGGGCGGAAGAGGUUGGAUUCUGGCUGUUUGGACGGCAGAGCCAACCAGGCUGCCAGGGUGGGUAAGAAGGUGAGAAAGAGAGAAAUGUCAAUAACAACUUCAAGAUUUUUCAUCUGAGCAAAUGCUAAGAUAGUGUUGUGGACAAAGGUGUUUGGGGUUGGGGAAGAGCAGUUCAGUUUGAGAGAUCUCUUAGACCUCCUAGUGGAGAUGUUGAGUAGGCCAUCAGAUAAAUGAGUUAGAGAUGAGAGGCCCCAACCUUAUUGCCCCACGGUCUUCUUGUCCCUCCACUAAACUCCCCGGCUCUAGGGGGCCGGAGAGAUCUGGGAAUUCAAAGGCCCUAACAUAAGACCCAUUUUAAGCCACAUAACCAAGAGGCCAGUCUGAGUGAACCACAAAGCUCCUCAUAAUCAAAUCACUUUGUGGCCAAAACUCUGGCACUUUCUCCCCAGAUGGGGAGAAGCAAUCCUCCAACUGUUUGGAAACCAGUUUUUUACUUUCAAUCCAUUGCAGACUGAUACUUUUUAAAAUACAAAGUCAAAUGGCUGGCUGUCAUGGUAAUAUCAAAGUGCUAAUAAAGUUUUGCAACACUUACUCUCAAUUUCUGUACUUUGUUUGAACAGGUAAGAAACUGUUCAUGGACUGACACUGGUCCAUACCUUAAGUGGCACUAGUCCAGAGAACUGUUAUCAGGUGCGUAAUCCCAUAGUUCGUAAACCCUGCAACGGCCAUUCUUUGAGCGAACAUUUCUAGCAGGUUCCAGAUGAGCAUCUUGACUUCCUUUGAUUUCUCUGACCCCUUAGAGUAGGGGAAAUUUAGACAGCUCUACUUGAAUCUUCCACCAGGAAAGAGGGUGAGGCCAAGUUUGGGUUAGAAUGGAGACAAACAUGAUGACAUUUGAGUACCCAUGAUGACAGGCCCUGUCAUAUUUCCAUGGGGCCACACAGUGCAGUGUUGGGGGAGGAGAGGACAAAAGUUGUAGCCCAUAGUCUCCUCGGCAAAAUUCCUGAGUUUCAGAACAGCAUUGAGCUUUUCAGAGGUAAGAGAGAUUCACAGGCUUGACAUCCCUGUGAGGAAUGCUAUUUGAGUGCAGGCACUGGAUAUCCUC
rnacentral:lncRNA from 1 species